rnacentral:lncRNA from 1 species
UAAACAUCCACUUACUCAAGUAUUGGGAAUGUCUUUCUCUUUUUUUCUGAUGAUUAAAGAAUGUUGACUAAAUUAAAUAGAACUCAAGAAAAGCUAGAUGCAAAUGAAAGGAUUCCUCUGCCAACUAAGCUCCCUGAAGAAGUUAGAGGGCAAAAAAACCCCUUCAAUUUUUCUUUUUCCAUCGUCCCGUGUCUUCUGAAGUCACUCUUGAUCUCAUCACAGCACCAGCAUCUAUUUGGAGAAACUGGAGGCUGAAAGAAGAUUUCAUUUCUUCUUGGGGUUGGAAGAGACUUUAGAGAUCUCCAUCCUUGUUCAAGUUCCUCAUUUAAGAAAAGGAGAAUCCAACACCUAGAGCUAACACAAUGCGUCAGGUGGAGCAUUUGUCAGUCUGGGUUCCUGAGUGACUACAAGGAGAAGUCCCCGUGGGUAUGGCUGACAGAAUUACCCCAGGAACUGGAGAACCAAGAUUUGGGCCAGGCAGCAGGACCAAAGCCAAUGUCUUGUGCAACACGAGUGAGAAAUAAAUUUUUGUUUUGUUAAGCCUCUACAAUUUUUAGGCUGUUUGUAACUGUAGCAUAAUUGUAUUAUUGCUACCUACCAGAUUACUGCAAAUUUAGCACUUUUUAGCGACACACAUUUAUUAUCUCAGUUUCCAUGGGUUAGGUUGGGCAUGGCGAGCUGGGUCCUUUGCUUAGGGUCUUGCAAGGCAUAAAUCAAGGUUUCUGUGAGCUGCAUCCUCAUUUGAAGACUCGACUGGGGAAAGAUUCAUUGCCAAGCUUCCACAGGUUGUUGGAAUUUAGUUUGUUGCAGUUGUAUGACUGAGGUCCCUCUGUCCCUUACUAAUUGUCAUCUGGGUGCUGUUCUCAACUCUUUGAGGCUGCCCACAUGCCUGUCCAUGUGGCCUCUUCCAUCUUCAAAGACAGCUACAGAGAAACCUCCUCAUGUCGAUUCCAUCUCACACUUCAAAUCUCCCCAACUUCUCCUGCCUAUGACCUCUAGACCCAGAUAAAGGGUUUAUGUGAUUAGGUCAACCCAUCAGCACAAUUACCCUUUUUUAAAGUCAGCUGUGCCAUAUAAAUCUAUUAUAUUUCUAUGGGGUUUAUACAGACAGUGUACACCAGGGCGUGAGGAUAUUAGGGGACAUCUUAGAAUUCUGCCUAGGACACUAAGCUAACCGAUAUUGGUUGACACUCAUGGGUCAGAUGCAGCAAGAGGACCUGGAAAAGCAGAAGAAUGGAUUCCAUUCUCUUUUUAAUCCCAAUGCAAUUUCUUUUCCUUCACAACCUUUUCUCAGAGUGUAUAUUUUGGGACUUUUCCAUCAAAAAGGACAACAGCUCACAAAACACAUGUGGUUUGGGGGACACAUGGAGUCAACCUAAGGUAUCCCAGGGCUCCAUUGUUCCCUUGAAGUUCUAAGGUCUAUCUCACGCCUCCCCUCUGCCCCAUCAAGACCCUCACACUCUUUGUAACCACAUCUGAGAAGCACAUGUUAAUUAUUAUAAUCUUUCUUGAAAACAAUUUAGAAAUCUCUAUCAGUGAGCCUUAGUAAACUCAAUUCCUGGAAUAAUCAAAAUAAAUGCUCAUAUUUAUGUGCAAGGGGAAGGAUUGCAGGGUUACUUAUCAUCAAAUGAAAAUACACUCAUUAUUCAACCCUUAGAGGGUUGAUAAAUUAGAGGACAA